rnacentral:piRNA from 5 species
UCUGAUACGUCCUCUAUCCGAGGACAAU